rnacentral:rRNA from 1 species
UCAAGUCAUCAUGGCCCUUAUGUCCAGGGCGACACACGUGCUACAAUGGUCGGGUACAGAGGGAAGCGAUUUCGUGAGGAUGAGCGGAUCCCAUAAAGCCGAUCUCAGUUCGGAUUGAAGUCUGCAAUUCGACUUCAUGAAGCUGGAAUCGCUAGUAAUCGCAGAUCAGCCAAGCUGCGGUGAAUACGUUCCCGGGCCUU